CGUGGGUAACCUGCCUUAUAGUGGGGGAUAGCCUUUCGAAAGGAAGAUUAAUACCGCAUAAGAUUGUAGUAUCGCAUGAUAUAGCAAUUAAAGGAGCAAUUCGCUAUAAGAUGGACCCGCGUCGCAUUAGCUAGUUGGUGAGGUAAUGGCUCACCAAGGCGACGAUGCGUAGCCGACCUGAGAGGGUGAUCGGCCACAUUGGGACUGAGACACGGCCCAGACUACUACGGGAGGCAGCAUG
rnacentral:rRNA from 1 species